rnacentral:lncRNA from 1 species
CUUAGUCCGAGACGGGCUGAAGCACCCUUCUCUGGAGGCGUUUUUCCGUUAAGGGAUCGAACUUGGGACCUUGCGCUUUCCAGGCAGGCGUCAGAACCACUGAGGUAAAUCCCGUACCCCAAACACCAUUUCUUGAGUCAUUCCCCAUUUCCUCCUUCCUACCCUUAUUCCUACAUUUGAGGGUAACCACUUGUUAGAGAGAUUGAAUGAGAGCAUGAUGAUGAUGAUUAACUUUGGUCCUUUUACUGUCAGUAGGUUUGGGGAAAGCUGCUGCCACUGAGGCAAUUGAAAAGAAGUUAAGUAUGGGCAAUCCUACAGGGAGGUUAAAAUGUCUAAGGAAGGAGAACCUAUUGGUGAAGGCGUAAUUGCGUCCCUUUCAGAUACAGAAAUUGGGAUGUGCUUUAUCUCCUAGGGCACAGGGAUACAUUUGGUCAUCUUUUGUGCUCUUAAUUUGCCUCAUCUACUGAUCUGUCUAGUUGAAGUUCUGCAGCAGAAGUGAAUUCUGGAGAGAUGUUAGAGAAUAAUAACUUCAGGAUAAAAGGAGUUUUUGUUGUUGUUGUUGUUUUGGAGGUGCUGGGGAUUAAAUAUAAGGGUCUCAAGCAUGCCAGGGAAGUGUUCUGUCCCAGAUCUAUAUCCUGAGUCCUUAAAAGUAGUCCUUAAAAUAUUCUCCAACCUGGCCCCCAAGGAAAGAAACCACAGGCAUUGAUAUAUUCAAGACAAGGUUCAUUUCAGGAAUGUAGCAUUGGCUCACAAAUACUCCUCUGAAUUAAUGUGCUCCUGCCUUAACCUUCUUGAUGAGGUAGGAGGAGAUGAGAAAGGAUCUGGCUGGAGGGAAUGUGAGGAAUUGGGAAGGGUGUGGGAGAAAGACUGGGGAGAGCUGUGCUUGGGUGUUAGGUAAGUAUAGGGUAAGCAGAUUCAGAAGCAGCAAAGUGGGUCUCUGUGAGAAAUUGCAGACAUUUCACCUGCCUUUUGUUGUAUUGUUCAUGCAUGUUUUAAAAAUCAGUUGUAUUGAGUUGAACCUGUCCAAAUUAGGCCUCAACUGCACUUCUCAUCUACCCUCCAAUUAUAUAAAGAUGUCAGGUUGGUUUCAAAUACUGAAUUAUAGGAAAAAUGUUAUGUGUAUUGCAGGCAACUGGAUUUAUACCACUUCUUUUUUUUUUUCAUAGUAACUUAAAAAUGAAGCUAUUAGCUCAGUGGUUCUGCUGCCUGCCUUGCAAGCACAAGGUCCCGAGUUUG